rnacentral:rRNA from 1 species
GACAGAGGGUGCAAACGUUGUUCGGAAUUACUGGGCGUAAAGCGCGUGUAGGCUGCUCUGCAAGUCGGAUGUGAAAGCCCCUGGGCUCAACCUAGGAAGUGCAUUCGAAACUGCAGAGCUUGAGAUCUGGAGAGGAAAGCGGAAUUCUCGGUGUAGAGGUGAAAAUUCGUAGAUAUCGAGAGGAACACCGGUGGCGAAGGCGGCUUUCUGGACAGCAUCUGACGCUGAGACGCGAAAGCGUGGGGAGCAAACAGG